GCUUCGACUAAGGUUCGAUUCGAGCGGAGCGAGAAAGCGUUGCCGCAGGCAACGACCCGAAGGGCGAGGCGCAACGCGCCGAGUAAUCCUUCCCCCACCACCA
rnacentral:sRNA from 1 species